UCUGGGAAGACAUUUUACUCAUUUGGUUUCUUCUUUCUUAUAGUCUUCUUGUCCUGCUCUCAGGUGUUUACCACCUAUUAGAAUUUCACCUGUAUGGGUACUGUGUUUGAGAAAGUCCCAGGACUUGUCAGCUGGUAUAGGCCUCAUAAAAGACAGCUCUGUUCAGGGUUUGAAAGGGACUGCAGUUAAAAGCUAGGGCUAGGAUUUGGAGGCUGUGUAGGCAAACGGAAGGAGAGCCGGGGGAAGAAAAACCGAAAUGGAUUCAUUCUCUGUCCUGGAUGGAGGAGGAGAGGAGUCCCGUGAAAGCUUCCUUCAACUGCCUCUGUCCGGUGAAAAGUGAUCAACCCCCCGGGACUGAAUAGAACUCAAGAGGCCACGCGGACUUUCGCUUUACCCUGCCAAUCAAACAACACCCUGAUCUGGCAUGGACAUUAAGAAGGAUAAGCUUGGAGCGCCCAGUCACCGUGGUAACUGCCAGAAAAAUUCUCCUGAAGUUUGAAGAGGUCAGCUCACAGGGUCAACAACUCUGGCCUCUUUCUGAGCUGGGCCUGGCAGGCCCCAUCCUGCAGUUGGAGUGGUAGGCCAGGCCUAGCCCUGGGAGGUGGGCCAUUCCAGCUCUGAUAUAAAUUUUUUGAGUCAGUUCACGGCCUGGACUCUCCAGGUGGUCUCCAAAAUCGAUUGUGACCUUCUGACCCUGUCUAACGGAGGCAUAGCAUCCAACCUAAGUAAGGAUUUAGCCAGGAAUGACAGCUUUCCACUGAGUGUUAUUGGGGACAGUACAAACAAUUUUGGAAGCAAGGAGGUAGGUAUGAGGAGUAGAGGUCAUUAAAAGCAUAUUAAAAAACUAUUUUUUAAAAUAACCUUGUUGGUGAAAAGUUUUUAUUAGCAUUGAGUACCCCUGUUAUAAGCCUUUUCAGCAAAGCCCCUUUCCCCCCUCCCCAAUGCUAUUUUAUAUUAAAUAUUCUGAAUGUUAACAUGUGAA